GGGUCGUUAGCUCAGUUGGUAGAGCAGUUGGCUUUUAACCAAUUGGUCGUAGGUUCGAAACCCACACGACCCACCA
rnacentral:tRNA from 1 species